CAGUUUGUUACCUUUACGAAAAAUCACUGAGUGUGUUACUGUGCACAGAUUUUCACUUGAGACUGGAUGGUUAUGACUUUGAAGAAUAAACUAAGGUUUGCCUUUUCUAAAAAUCAUGGCACCAGAAAAACUACACUCCUCACCAUAUUAUGUAUAUGGUGGGUGCUUACCUGGACUGGUGCCCAAGCGACAACAGAACACCAGAAUCCUGAGACAUCUAAAAUGGAGAAAAUGAGGAUGAAUGAUGAUUUCAGGCAAAACACAAAUGCAACGCAUGAAUCCAAUAAAGAAACUUCCCAACAAUCUGCAGCUAUACACAUUGAAAAUGCCACAGGAGCUAGAGCUACCUCUCAUACUAAAAGUGAUACAAAACCAAUUAGAGCAUUAUCCACUACUGGUACAGCAGUACCUCCCAGGAGAGUCUCGAUCAAAAAUUCAACAGAAAAAACAAGCUAUACUACAACACUGGCUCCUAGACCUAUUGGAAAUUUACCAGUGAUGACUACUCACUCAACACCUGAUUCAAAUACAGCUAACGUAAAGCUGGUGUUCGACUGCUCAUUUCCUGUUCCCAGUGAGAGUAUGGUCUUGAAUGCUAUCCAAACUCUGCUGAUCUCUCGAUCUGCAAACAUCUCAGAUACAGUGAAAGUACUGGGCUUCUACUAUAAUAAAACCUCAGCCAACUCCUAUGAAGUUAAUUUCAUAAUCAACAUUAGUAUCAUCAUGCCAGAGAAGCAUGCCCUCAGGAAAAACACCUACAAGCAAAUCCAAACAUCCAUCAGCAACACACUAAACAUUUUAUUAAAUGAACCUGGUGCAGAACCAUUUGAACCCCAUACCUCCUACAUCAUGGAUGUGGACAUUGAAAUAGAGUACAAUUUUGGAUGUGGGGAUUGCAAACGACCAAUCAGCUUCCUAAAUGAAAUCAGUGCUUUAGCAACAACUCCAAGAACGACAACAGUUCCUCCAACAACUUCAAGACAUGAGAACAUAACUGGAACUGUAUACAUUUAUAUUAAGGUUAUAUUUGAGAACUUGACACAUGUACCUACCGAGGCUGAUGUUAUCAGUGCUGCUAAUGAUCUCCUGGAAUCAAACAAAUCAGUGAGAGAUCUUGGAAUAGAAGAACUGACUGACCCUGUCAGCAUAAAGAACAUCGCCUAUCAGAAAACGGGAAGCAACUCAUAUAGCAUAGACUUUGCAUUCAAAAUCAGCAAUGUGAGCAUGUCUGUGAUGACGGACCAGAGGAGCGCAACAUAUGAGUUAAUACAGUACAAAAUCAACAGCCUGAUGAACACAAUCUUGAAUGCCCCAACUGAGGCAUCAGUUAACUUCUCACAAGCAAAUUACACGGGUAAUGCUACAUUAAUAGAGGCAACUGAAAUAUACAUCUAUAGGGAGUGUGAUAUCAAGUCGACAAGUGAGUUUCUUCUUCAACUCCUAACACUUCAUACACCUCCUGCCAUUGGAUCAGCUGAGGUUCAAACCACCAUGGUGUUCAGCUCGUCCUCUCCUGUUCCCAGUGAGAGUUUGGUCCUCGGUGCUAUCACAGUUCUGCUUAACUCUCGACUCACAAACCUCACUGACUCUGUAACAGUGCUGAACUUCACCUAUGAGAAAAUAUCAGACACAUCCUAUGCAAUCAUUUUCAUAUUCAAGAUCAGUAACAUCAGCAUUCCAGAGAACCCUAACCUCAGGAACGAAACCCACAGCCAUGUAAAGAGCAUCAUCAAUGACGCUCUAAACAUGCUACUAAAUAGGCCUUGUGCAGUGCGAUUUGAAACCAACAAUUUCAACUUCACAAGAUCAGAAGAUAAGAUUGAUGGAUACAUGAACUACACUUUCCAACAAUCAGAAACCAAAAAACCAGCCAGCUUCUUCGAUGAACUCAAGAUUAUACCUGGUUUGGUUGUGGUCAAUACCACCCUGGUGUUCAACUCGUCCUCUCCUAUUACCUGUGAGAGUUUUUACCACAGUGCUCUCGAAGCUCUGCUGAACUCUAGACACACAAACCUUACUGAGUCUGUAAGAGUGCUGACCUGUGAGGAAAUUUCAAACACCUCCUACACAGUUAGCAUUAAAUUCAUCAGUAACAUCAGCAUGCCGAGCAACCCUGACCUCAGGAACGACACCUACACCCAAGUGGAGAACAUCAUCAAUAACGCAGUAAACACACUUCUAAACAAUUUUGGUUCAGAUCCAUUAAAACCCACUACCUCCAACUUCACGAGUUCAGAGAAUGAAGUUACUGGUUACAUGGAAUACAAUCUCAAAGUCUCCCUCAAUCAGACUGGGAAUGCUACAGUGCAGACUUCUCCAGAACCUCCAUCCACAAUCAACGGAUCAGCUGUGGUUCAAACCAUGCUGGUGUUCAACUCGUCCUCUCCUGUUUGCACUCAGAGUGUCAUUCCCAAGUUUAUCGCAUGGCUGAUUGAGUCUGAACUCAAUAAACAAAGUCAGAGUGUCGUUCUCCAUGUUCUCGAAGAUCUGCUGAACUCUACACUCAAAAACCUCACUGAGCCUGUAAAAGUGUUGAAUUACACCAUUGAGGAAAUUUCAAACACCUCCUACGCAGUUAACAUUACAUUCAGCAUCAGUAACAUCAGCAUGCCGAACAACCCUGACCUCAGGAACGACACCUACACCCAAGUGGAGAACAUCAUCAAUAACGCUGUAAACACACUUCUAUAUAAACCUGGUUCAGAUCCAUUAAAACCAACUACCUCCAACUUCACGAGUUCAGAGAAUGAAGUUACUGGUUACAUGGAAUACAAUCUCAAAGUCUCCCUCAAUCAGACUAGGAACGCUACAGUGCCGACUUCUCCAGAACCUCCAUCCACAAUCAACGGAUCAGCUGUGGUUCAGACCAGGCUGGUGUUCAACUCGUCCUCUCCUGUUCUCAAUGAGAGUGUCCUCCCCAAAAUUAUGGCAUUAUUGUUUGACUCUAAACGCCAAAACCUCGAUGAGAGUGUCGUCCUCAGUGCUCUCGAAGCUCUGCUGAACUCUAUACUCUCAAACCUCAAUGAGCCUGUAAAAGUGUUGAAUUACACCAUCGAGGAAAUUUCAAACGGCUCCUACGCAGUUAACAUUACAUUCAGCAUCAGUAACAUCAGCAUGCCGAGCAACCCUGACCUCAGGAACGAUACCUACAUCCAUGUGGAGAACAUCAUCAAUAACGCUGUGAGUGUAC
ensembl:lncRNA